UACAGAGGGUGCAAGCGUUGUUCGGAAUUAUUGGGCGUAAAGCGCGUGUAGGCGGCUUUGCAAGUCGGGUGUGAAAUCCCUCGGCUCAACCGAGGAACUGCAUCCGAUACUGGCGGGCUUGAAUCCGGGAGAGGGAUGUGGAAUUCCAGGUGUAGCGGUGAAAUGCGUAGAUAUCUGGAGGAACACCCGUGGCGAAGGCGGCUACUCUGGGACGGUACUGACGCUGAGACGCGAAAGCGUGGGGAGCGAACGGGG
rnacentral:rRNA from 1 species